AGUGAACGCUGGCGGUAGGCCUAACACAUGCAAGUCGAACGGCAGCACAGUAAGAGCUUGCUCUUACGGGUGGCGAGUGGCGGACGGGUGAGGAAUACAUCGGAAUCUACUUUUUCGUGGGGGAUAACGUAGGGAAACUUACGCUAAUACCUCAUACGACCUACGGGUGAAAGCAGGAGAUAUUCGGACCUUGCGCGAUUGAAUUAGCCGAUGUCGGAUUAGCUAGUUGGCGGGGUAAAGGCCCACCAAGGCGACGAUCCGUAGCUGGUCUGAGAGGAUGAUCAGCCACACUGGAACUGAGACACGGUCCAGACUCCUACGGGAGGCAGCAGUGGGGAAUAUUGGACAAUGGGCGCAAGCCUGAUCCAGCAAUACCGCGUGGGUGAAGAAGGCCUUCGGGUUGUAAAGCCCUUUUGUUGGGAAAGAAAAGCAGCAGGUUAAUACCCCGCUGUUCUGACGGUACCCAAAGAAUAAGCACCGGCUAACUUCGUG
rnacentral:rRNA from 1 species